rnacentral:tRNA from 1 species
UCUAAAAUGACAGAAAGAUGUAUAGGAUUUAAACUCCUACCAGGAAGGCCCUUCUUCUUUUAGAA